AGCCCCGUCGUCUAGUCUGGCCAAGGAUAGGAGGCUCUGGACCUCUAGACGUAGGUUCAAAUCCUACCGGGGCUACCA
rnacentral:tRNA from 1 species